UACAGAGGUCCCAAGCGUUGUUCGGAUUCACUGGGCGUAAAGGGUGCGUAGGCGGUCGGGCAAGUCUGACGUGAAAUCUUCAAGCUCAACUUGGAAACUGCGUCGGAUACUAUUCGGCUAGAGGAAUGGAGGGGAGACUGGAAUACUUGGUGUAGCAGUGAAAUGCGUAGAUAUCAAGUGGAACACCAGUGGCGAAGGCGAGUCUCUGGACAUUUCCUGACGCUGAGGCACGAAAGCCAGGGGAGCAAACGGG
rnacentral:rRNA from 1 species